ACAAGCUCCCCUGUCUAAAUGAUGCCGUGUUUUAUUCCACAUGACUACAUUGAAAAGUGCAGUGGAUGUUUUUCCACUUGGACUCUUUUCCACACAGGCUUCGAGAUGUGAUGACGCAGGUCCGUCCGUGGAACGUACAGACGUAUCAGCAUGCUGAUUAUCAGCCUUACCAGCUCGCCGUUCUGCACCUCGCCGCCGCCUCUUUCUCGCGUCAGCUCGCACCGACUUGUUUCUGGCACCGGCUUCUCCUCUUGUGAAACUGCAUCAGUACAGAACAGGAGGCAGCACCGGCAUGAACAACCUGCUCAGACCUCCUGACCCACAUCCAGACCGGUGGCUACAAACUGAAGACUUUGCAGAGGGACCAAACAGCUCAGUCAGAUCAGAACCGUACAAUGAACACAUUCAGUCUAACACUCUGUGUCACUGGGUAGAUCUUUCACGCCAUCACGUGGCUGAAAGCCAUGUGGUUUUCCAGUCCCCGGACAGACGCUUUUCACAUGGGGAACUGAAAUGUUGACCUUUGCUGCCCCCUAGUGGCCGAGAAUAAGCGCACUGCGUAAAAUGAGCAUUUGCACAGCGUUUUUUUACUUUUGUACAUAAGAAGCUUAACAAACAGAUAGACUACCUAUGUGGAGCCCUCAGCCUCUGUCUACCUGUUUAAAAACAACACACCACGUUAUAGCUUUCCAGUGUCUUUAUUCUUCCAACAGUACUAGAUUCUUAAGGAAUAUAAAAUAAUCUGCUGACCUGCUAUUGUCUAUGCAAUGACUUGAUUCAAAACAGCCAUCAAACAUCUGAACAUGUUCAAUUUGACGAGAUUGACAACAGUUUAAUUUGUUGAUUAUACCCGACAAGUCCAAGGGAAAUCCCAGGGAAUGAAUCAUUCGCUGUGCGCCAAGCUGUGUGGAUAAAUAGGGAAGUCGGUGCCUCUAGUUUAGCCACUAUCUCCAUUUACAUGUCAAGUAACAUAAGAAGGCUUUUUACUGCAGGACACAGGUGAGUUAUGCAAUAACAAGGCAUACAUUAAAAACAACGCUAAAGGGGAACGUGACCCAGAGCUGAAUUCUAUCCUGAAUAUCUUCAUUAUUACUAAAAGUGUCUGUAUGAGAGGCUUUUCCAUGGUGCAUUGGUGCACAUUUUCAAGUAGCCAAUGGUCAGGUAGGAAUAAGAAAUGUUUGCAGUGUGGGGAUAAGCAGCUGUAAAACUAUGAGUCAGAUCAUGCACUAUAAUCUGCAGUUAGAAAGGCACCUGCUGUAGUUCACUCCCGCAUUCCUGCAAAAGUUUCCUCCAGAGCAGGAGAUGAACCCACUGAAAGCUCAUUGAGGACAUCACUCAGAUUUAUUUUCUACAUCAUCCAUCCACAGUUAUCUUAGCAACGCUGACACCUCUAAUUCUUUAACCAUGAGGCUUUUGUUUGGAUUCAUGUGUGUGUAAAUGCAGGCAAUGAGGAAAACAUAAAACAUGAGAAUGCCCGUGAGGAUGGUGAGAAGAAUGGAAAAAGAAACGUGAUUUUAAUUUGUACACGCUCACAAACACACACACACACACACACACACACACACACACACACACACACACACACACACACACACACACACACACACACACACACACACACACACACACACAUUGAAUAU